UACGGGGGGGGCAAGCGUUGUUCGGAAUUACUGGGCGUAAAGGGCGCGUAGGCGGCCUGCUAAGUCGGACGUGAAAUCCCCCGGCUCAACCGGGGAACUGCGUCCGAUACUGGUGGGCUCGAAUCCGGGAGAGGGAUGUGGAAUUCCAGGUGUAGCGGUGAAAUUCGUAGAUAUUCGGAGGAACACCAGUGGCGAAGGCGGCUCACUGGUCCGGUACUGACGCUGAGGUGCGAAAGCGUGGGGAGCAAACAGG
rnacentral:rRNA from 1 species